rnacentral:tRNA from 1 species
GCCCGGGUGGUGGAAUUGGUAGACACAAGGGACUUAAAAUCCCUCGGAAUUUUCCUUCCGUGCCGGUUCAAGUCCGGCCUCGGGCACCA